rnacentral:misc_RNA from 1 species
GAUGAAGAACGUAGCGAAAUGCGAUAAGUAAUGUGAAUUGCAGAAUUCAGUGAAUCAUCGAAUCUUUGAACGCACCUUGCACCCUUUGGCUAUUCCGAAGGGUAUGCCUGUUUGAGUAUCAUGAACACCUCAACUCUCAUGGUUUGCCAUGAUGGGCUUGGACUUUGGGGGUCUUGCUGGCCUGUGGUCAGCUCCUCUCAAAUGGAUUAGCUUGCCAGUGUUUGGUGGCAUCACAGGUGUGAUAACUAUCUACGCUUGUGGUUUUCCACCAGGUAACCUUCAGCAAUGGGGGUUCGCUGGGGCUCAUAAAUGUCUCUCCUCAGUGAGGACAGCUCUUUGAACGUUUGAUCUCAAAUCAGGUAGGACUACCCGCUGAACUUAAGCAUAUCAAUAAGCGGAGGA